rnacentral:lncRNA from 1 species
GCCAUUUGUAAACAUGAAAGGCCGUGAGAAAGGAAACUUUUCAACAGUAAUCUGACGAUUAAUUUAAAAGGGAUAAUGAAUGGCAUUGCGCGAUUUACAGAUCAACUAUUGAUCAACUACUGAGGAACUUCUGGCAUAUUGCUUAUGACCUUAAACAAAAAAAGGAAUUCUCAAGGUAUGCCUACAUACCACAUGUUGGAAGAGUUUGUGGAAUGGCUGAAGGGUGAAAGAAUUUCCAGAAAAAUAAAAUUCUAUAUGAAUUUGUGAAUGGAAAUGAAACCCAAGGAACUAAUAUAUUUGCUGACCAUCCAGUUGAAAGUAUGCCAAUGGAGUAAAGUGCAACCGUCA